ensembl:lncRNA
GUGAUUAGCAAGCCAGCCUCGAAAAAGCAGCACAGUGGAGAAACGCAGCAGACUGGCGUCUCAUCCUGGACACAUGGGAGUGGGGCUCAGCUGGAAGCUGGCCAGGGCCCUCUAUCUGCAGCUGCAGAUCUUUAGGCGGUCAUCUUCUGGGUUGCACUGGUCUCCUAGAACCUCCAGGAAGCAGACUUUACAGAGUAAUCACCGAAGGACUUUAAUCUGCUCCUUGAGCCUGUACUACUGAGCUUUCGCUUUGCUGGACAUAGUCCCUGACACCCAUAACCGAAGGGAGGAGAAGUUAAUUUGUUCAGAGAUUCGGUCCAUGGUCAGCUGGCUCCAAGGCAGGAGCAUCAUGGCGGAAGGGCAUGGUGGAGCAAAGUUGCUCAGCUCAUGUUGGCCAGGAAGUGGAGCAGGGAGCAGCUCCAGAGAAGAAGGGAUUUGAUCUGAGCAACUUCAGAAGAAAGAAAUUCCCCUCUGCGCCGACAUGGUGAGAGGAACACGGGAGUUCGAGGCUCUGCAGUUGGUCAGAGAGGUUCCUGACCCAGCCCCGAAUCCUGGGUCAAGCAUUGGGCUUUGCCGUUAGAACCUUGGGGGCAGUUCUUAGCUCUGCCACCAUGUAGCUAUGUGGACCUGGGCUAGUUUCUUGGCCUCUCUGAUCCCCGGUUUCCUCAUGGGGAUAAUAAUAGCUUGGGGUGGCUAUGGGAUUAAGGUGAGAUGAACAGGUAAACUGCUUAGCUUGCGUUGUAAAGCAAUUGGUUAAGAGUUAAUGGCAAUGAGCACUGCUGGUAUUUGUACCUUUAGGUAAGAGUUCUGCCUGGCUCAGCCUUGUUUGGGGGAUCAGAAACACAAUAUGUACGACACUGGUCCAGAGUCGGAGGUCUCUAAAUGAGGGUCAUUGUCAUCGUAACAGGGACAGCACUGUCUUUGAAGCUACUUGAGUGUGAAGUGAUUGCACUUUAGCUGAAAGAAAGGAAGUUAAAAUGGCUCAAUACUUAGAGACAGCUACAGAAAUGAUUGCAAUUAUACAAAAAUUAUAUAUGCACGUGGGCAGGGCUGAAAGGAAACAGGGAACAAUGGAAACUGAUUUAUUUGGGUGUGCAGCAUGAGGAUGGAUUUUUAAACUUUUCUUUGUUGUUUUAACUAAGAUCACUGCUGUGAGUAAUGACAAUACUUAAAUUUUUUAAAAUUGCAUCAAAAGUAUUCUGAGUCCCAUCUGCCUAUCAGGUACUUUCAGUGAAGAAUAAUUAUUUUAAACAUGAAGGAUGUUAUGGCUGGGUCUAGAUGACCCCCAAAGCCUCAUGCGGUCAUAGGUGGGGCUUUUCAGAGGUGGCUGCAUCUGGAGUGUGUGAUGCUGGGAUCAAGGGUGUGUGAUCACUAAAUCAGUCCACUGUUUGGUCUGCCAUAGCGCUGGGUGUGGAUCACAGGAAGGCCCCCCGCGGGUAUGAGUGCUGCCCACAAUAGGGAUGGGCAUCCUGGGUAGAAUAAGGGACAGAAAGAGGGCUGCUGCAGUGACUCACUGCUGUUGCUUUGCUACUUCACUGCUAGUUGCCUUCUGUCUAUCCUGCUUUGCCAUGAACUCUUUCUCCUCUGCCAUGACCCUCCACCUUGGAGCCUGCCACCUGUGAACUGAGAACUCUGCAAACUGUGAGCCAAAUAAACCUUCC